GCGUCAUGUGGCUGGCCAUCCUCCUGGCCUCGGUGCUGGGCUUCGCCAUCUACCGCUGGUUCGCCGCCCGCGACAAGGAGGAGACGCUGCCCCUAGAGGAUGGGUGGUGGGGGCCGGGAGCCCGGCCCGCGGCCGCCGAAGACCAGAGCAUCCGGCCUUUCAAGGUGGAAACGUCCGAUGAGGAGAUCAAGGAUUUGCACCAGAGGAUCGACAAGUUUCGCUGGACCCCACCUUUGGAGGGCAGCCGCUUCCACUACGGGUUCAACUCCAGCUACCUGAAGAAAGUCGUCUCCUACUGGCGGAAUGACUUUGACUGGAAGAAGCAGGUAGAGCUCCUCAACCAGUACCCUCACUUCAAGACGACAAUCGAAGGGCUGGACAUCCACUUCAUCCACGUGAAGCCCCCCCAGGCGCCCGCAGGCCGCAGCCCGAAGCCCUUGAUGAUGGUGCACGGCUGGCCCGGCUCCUUCUUCGAGUUCUACAAGAUCAUCCCACUGCUCACGGACCCCGGGAAGCAUGGCCUCGGUGACGAGCACAUUUUCGAAGUCAUCUGCCCUUCCAUUCCCGGCUACGGCUUCUCCCAGGCCUCCAGCAAGAAAGGCCUCAAUUCUGUGGUCACCGCCAGGAUCUUCUACAAGCUGAUGCUGCGGCUGGGCUUUCAGAAAUUCUACAUUCAAGGAGGGGACUGGGGGUCCCUGAUCUGCACCAACAUGGCCCAGCUGGCGCCGAGCCACGUGAAGGGCCUGCACCUGAACAUGGCUUUCGUUGUAAGAAAUUUUGAAACCCUGACGCUGCUCCUGGGACAGCGCUUUGGGCGCUUCCUGGGCUACACGGAGAGGGACGUGGAGCUGCUGUACCCCGUCAAGGAGAAGGUGUUCCACAGUGUCAUGAGGGAGAGCGGGUACCUGCACAUCCAGGCCACCAAGCCUGACACUGUGGGCUGCGCUCUGAACGACUCUCCUGUGGGCCUGGCGGCUUAUAUCCUGGAGAAGUUCUCCACCUGGACGGAUUCAAGCUUCCGAGACCUGGAGGACGGCGGCCUGGAGAGGAAGUUCACCCUGGACGAGCUGCUGACCAACAUCAUGCUGUACUGGACCACAGGCUCCAUCGUCUCCUCCCAGCGCUACUACAAGGAGAACCUGGGCCAGGGCCUAAUGGUCCACCCGCACGAACGGAUGAAGGUCUUCGUGCCCACCGGCUUUGCUGCCUUCCCUUCUGAGUUGCUGCACCUCCCUGAGAAGUGGGUGAGGAUCAAGUACCCCAAACUCCUAACCUACUCCUACAUGGCUGCCGGGGGCCACUUUGCCGCCUUUGAGGAGCCCAGGCUGCUCGCCCAGGACAUCCGCAAGUUCGUGGCGAUGGUGGAGCAGCAGUGACACCCACGGGGCCUGGCCGCCCCGGAGGCCCCGCCCACCCGCGGCCCCGCCCACAGGGCCCCGCCGCCCCCCGAGGCCCCGCCCACCCGCAGCCCCGCCCACCCGCAGCCCCGCCCACCGCCGCUGACUGACAGGGCCUGGCAGCCCUACCCAAGCUGCUUAGGGAGCCGCUCAGGAAGGAGUCCCAGCCACCCCGGCCGCCUCCACGCCAGCCCCAGCGCGUGCUCAGCUUUGGUAAUAAAUGAUUUCACUUGUAA